CCUUAGGAACCCAAGCACUGACUUUAGUCAAACUGUUCCUCAAAUUACUUGUGUGUAUUGUCCAACUUCCAAUAUGGCCAGCUUAAGUUUGUUCAUGUGUUUUGAGUUGUGCAUACAUGUGUUGAAAUGCCCUCACUGUGUUUAAUAUUGACCUGUGGCACCAGACCAGGUCCAUGGUGGCUGUACGCCAUUCUGCUUGCAGGCAGCCAUCACACAACAUUCAGUAACCGAGUUCCUGCCAACUCUUGCCAUCUGCCAGCGUCUUUGCACUGCGUCUUGUAAGGACUCCAGACACAUUGCAAAAACAACAGACCCCUCUGGAACACAGAGAAAAAUGACACAGGAUGGUACCCGCGCAUAACAUGUUCCUAACAGCGACUGCGCUCGUACCUCUUCUUGCUCAUCACCAUGCAGUGAGUGUUUAGACAUGGGUGCUAAAUGCAAGUGACUCUCAGCAGCCUUAAUUAAUGACAAUGCUUGGUGAUGAAAAAGACCGCAAUCCGCAGGUCAGCAAAAAGGGUCGUGAUAGUUUUGAUGGUGAUGUCAGCCUCAAUUAAGCCAUGACAUUGUGGUGUUAUGCCCCAGUUAAAGGCAACAAAUUUGAAUUCUCCUCUUGCAAAAUUCAGAUUCAUCUUGUGACUGUAGCAGAACACAUGCAGAUUUAGCUCUGACACUAAUCACCAACAUAGUGCCUCUGAAAACUGGAGUGAGACAAACUUAGUACAGCAUCUGAUGUAAUGAGACACAAAGAAAGCCUCUCAUCUGGUGUGAAACACUGCAGCUCUCAGGGUACAUCAUUUUGUGACAGAGAAAUCAAUUCAGUUUCACAAGGGAGGCACAAACACAACACACUUUUAAUUACAGUCUGGUUUACUGAUGUCAUUUUAGCACCUAAAUGUCCCAGAUGGGCAGUUUCUUUCACUGAUAGUCUCUUGGCAUGUUGUGUGCCAUCCUCAAGUACUUAGACAGGCAGACCUAACAUUUGGUGCAGGUGCAAAUGAAGUAGUUUAAUAUUGACUUGCCUCAGGCUCAUGUGCUUAAUGAAGAAAUAUUUCUUUUCAAACACAGGGCACAUAUGUCACAGAGUCUGCUAAGCAGUAAAGAUUGCAAACAUUAAAAUGUCAGUAUACUAUAGACCAGUGUUUUUCAACCAGUGUGCCGUGAGAGAUCGUCAGGUGUGCCGUGAGACGUUAUCCACUAUCGCAUUUUUUUUACAUCGUCGGGCGGAGUUUGUAACAGUCACCUCCUUAAAUGGUGUUCCUCCCGACAUCCGCCAUGCGGUAGUGCUGCUUUAUUUAUAUUGAAUAUGGUCUUCGUCUGUUGCUGCUUACUUUUAUGUUGGCGUGUGUGCGAACCACUGAGCUCCCGAAUGACGAGUGGUCAAGGUGAAUUUAUUAUUAUUUUGUGAAUAAAUAUGCAUAAGUGGAAGCUUCUCUCCUUUAUGUUACUUUUAUGCACGCAUCCUACUUACCACGCAUUACAAGUUGCAGUAGGAAAGGAGGAGUAGGUAGAAGCUUGUGGUCGUGUGCAAAUGAGCGAGGUAUUGCUCGUGUCGCAUUCAAGAACUGCUCAGAUUUUUAGCCAUCAGGUAUCAUCCUGUCCGCAAAAAUGUGGACACCAGCACGUAUACUGUACAUCAUUUGAUUAGAGUCAUCAAGUGUCAAUAUACAUGGAAGUGUCCUUUCCAUUUCAUCCAUAUGUGAGACCGUCAAUCCUCCCCCUGUGUUUUAUUCCAAGUCAUUGUUGAGGACAGCAACUUAGCUGAUGGCUAAAAAUCCGAGCAGUUCUUGAACGUGACACGAGCAGUUGCAAUUGCUCUCAUUUCAAAACAAGUCGAUGUAUUUUUUCGCCUCCAUGAAAACACAGAGAGAAAAAAGGCAACUUUUUUGAGAAACACUACAAAGGUAAAUGAGAAAGUCCUCAAAGCCAGUUACCUUGUUGAUAAACUGCGACACUGUUGCUGAUUCCAAAAAGAGACAAUACUACCUGCCUGCAAAGCCAUUGUCAGUGAGAUACUUGCCACUGAUGUGAUCAAAGACAUUUCUAAAGUCCCCCUGUCAGACAGUUCUGAGCUUUUCACGCCUAACUGCUAUAAAAAAAUAAAAAUAAAAACAGAGAGGGAUUAAGCGCUGUUGACGAAGAUUCCUGCCAGGAUAUCGGCUUUGUGUUCAUCCAUACAGGCUGAAGUUUCACACUGAGGGAAGACAACAUGUCCAUGAAGGCAGAUGGGGAACCAAGCUCAUGCCACCACAAAGACCGGGUGUUUUUGUAGCCAUGUUGUCACCGUGUUAUGGAAGGUAGAAAAUGCUGUUAGGCAAGGGAAGAUAAGUUGAUCUGCCUCACAGCAACACUUACUGUACAUUGAUGGACAUAUAUCGAGACUACGUCGCCGAGAGGCCGGGGUCGGAGACGGUGGCCGGCCUUGAGACGGACCGUCAGCUCGAUCCCGAGAUCCAACUACGAGCUUUUUAACUGCAGCAACUUUAAGAUAUGCUAUUGGAGCUGGAAUUACUGAGAGCAGCGGGAGAAAGCCUGUCUGGAUGCCGCCAAGGGUCUCCGUAACGCCGGGUGAAAGUUGAGCGAUGCUCCCUUAAGCUCUGCUGGCUGAAACCAUUCUUUGUAUGCUUGACCUUCGUCAAUAUUUUUCUAAUAGUUUUAUAAAUUGUGAUUUAUUGACCUGUUUUGCAUAUGCACCAAACGUUUUAAAUAAAACAAGAAAUGGAAACAUGUUGUCGAAAUGUUUUAUUGCGAUCAAUAUCUGCAAUAAAAAAGAAAGACAUACUAUUUUUGUUUAUAUGUACAUAAUUUGUAGUAUUUCCUUGUAACAACAAAACCGGUGUCAGCCCUUCUGCAUUCGGCAAAUGUAAUAUAAUUUGUAAUUUCACCUGAUUUUGGUCACUCAAGUGGCCGGCAUAUCAAUCUGCAGUACCUUAUUUUUCGGACUAAGUCGCAGUUUU